UGUUUUGAAAAAAAAACAACAUAUAGUUGGAUCGAUACAGAGAAUAUUAGCAUGGCCCCUGCGAAAGGAUGACACGCAAAUCCGUGAAGCGCUCCAUAUUGCU
ensembl:snRNA U6 U6 spliceosomal RNA